UGAUACCCUAUUAUAAUUAAAUGUUAAAGUUAAAUUAAAUUAGUAUUAGUUAUGAUCUUGAAAAUUAAAAAAUUNGGCGGUGCUUUAGUCUUUUCAGAGGAACCUGUCCUGUAAUCGAUAGUCCACGAUUAAUUCUACUUGUUCUAUUAAUUUGUAUAUCGUCGUAGUUGAGUAUUUCAGUAAGNAAUGCCAAUAUUCAUGAUUAAUCAUUAUUAAUAAAAUCAGAUCNAAGGUGCAGUUUAUGAACNAAGGUUGAGAUGGGUUACAAUAAAUUUAUUUAUAUGGAUUUUCUUAUGAAAAUGAGUUUUGAAGGUGGAUUUGUAAGUAAU
rnacentral:rRNA from 1 species